UGUCUUUUAGGCGAUAGCUAAUCAUGCUUUUUACGUGCCUUUUGUUCCUGCAUCCACCUCAUUAUUCCUACAGUGUGUGAAUAUAUCUAAUCUAUUGUGUCAGUUGUCUGUUGCCUUUUCAUUUCUCUCAAAUUCUCCACGGAUUAUAGAAUUUUCUUCAGCACAAAAUCCCUUCUAUCGUUCUUCUCUUUUGGUGUUGAUUGUUUUCUUUGUUGCCUCUUACAAUUUUUAGAUUAGUAUUAUAAUCUAUCUGCUAUUUAAUUUUUUUGUUCUUCGUUUGUAUGUUUCCUGCUGUUUUUGGGUGUGGUUGAAUCCACUUUUGGCUAUGGUGAUCUUUAGGUUAGAUCACAUGUUUGCCAUGUUCCUAUGGCAUUCCCAGUUCGCACAUUAUUCUGCUAACUCAUUUUUCAUGGUUUAUUAAAAUGUUUAUGCCUCUUUCAAACUGACUGUUAGAUGUAACAAACUAUAGAGAUUUUACAGAACAGACGCUCUGUGUCUUUGAGCUCUUUUACUUAGAUUUUUUUUUUUUAAUAAUGGAUUAUUUUUUCCAAGUGUUCGACUACAGUGUUUCUUUAAAAUCGUUGUAAUAAUUUUUUGUCUUUACCUCACUAGGAUGCUGAGCUUGAAAUGUGAUGUCAUAUAAAAAACUUCUUUUCCAAACUUUGAUUUAUAUAUAUAGUACGGAAAAGGGCCAAAAAUACCCCUAAAAUAUGUCUACAAGAAUCCAUGAUUCUAAAACUUUAUGAUUUUGACAAAUAAACAUAAUAAGAAUACUUAGCCAAGAGAAUCCAUAAGAAUGAUUCAGAUUGCUCUGUAACUCUGGAAGGUUGAGGGUAUUUAUAGACCAAAAGGUAGAAGGAGGGAUAUUCUUGAAUAAAAAAUAAAGGUUGAGGGUAUUUUUAGACCAAAAGGUGCAACAAGGGUAUUUGUGACCCAUUUUUCAUAAGUUAGAGGUAUUUUUGGCCCUUUCCUUGUGUAGUUAGUUAAUACUUCCUUGCAUUAAGAAUGUCCAAUGAUAAGUGUUCCAUCUGCUAAAACAGAAAAGAAAGAGUUCAUGUCGAGACUACUGUUUGAUCACCCAUGAACAUAUAAAAAUAUUAAAAAAUAAUACUGUGUUGAGUUGUUUGCUCUUUUUUACCUGUAGCUAUGAGAGAAACUGUAGCUAUGAGAGAAACUGAUGAACCACAUUAAUGAUGUACACUCUUUUGGGAUCUAUCCUUAGCUGUAAACAUAGAAGAAAUUGGUCCAACAGAUAUGAGCGCAAAAUGUCAAGACUUAGAGAAUUGUUAGACCCCUUUGUUCUGUGUUGUUCACUUAUCACUUUGGAAGUUUUCUUACGGUUAGCUCCAAUGUUUAUCGUCUUUCUUGGCUCCUUUGGCAUAGUGAUUAUCAUUACAUGCUCUUUGACCUUUGUUGAUGAAAGUGAUCUUCUCAGUAAAUCAGAUUUUUGUUAAACCGGCACAAUUACAAUCAUAUGUGCAACGAUUGAUGAUGUUUGAAAAUAUAUGCCUUUCACCAAUAAAAUCUGCAGAACAUAAUUUCAUUUUCCACUAUAUUAGUGGGACAAGUUUGCAUUUAUUCUAUUUGAGAUAUGGACACUACUAUUUGAUCAGUUCAACGUAAUUCUACAGGUGUCUCUGCUCAGAAAUUGCUAGGAAUGUAAAUCACCUUAAGAAAAUGCGAGGAAGAAAGUAGUCUAGACAAUUCUGAAAGAUACUUAAUAGCAUAAUGCAGAUAACGGAACAGGCUUGCCACAACAAGAAGGCAUGGUAUAAAGAUGAUGUAACUGAGGCUCUGUAUUGGUUAUUGGAGAGGCAUCUUCCGUAUGUCCUUUGUGCAGAUAUUUUUUUAUGAGAAUAGCCAGAUCAUGCUCAUCUCUCUUGGAUUCUCCACACAUAGAAUUUUCUCCUUAAACUUGAACGGAAAAGUUUCCGGCAGCAACCCCUUAAGCUUACCUCCCUCAAAUUGGAUGGCUCUUCUUUCAGUAUUCUAUAUGCUUUUUUGUUUUCUUAAUUUGAAGAUUGAUGUAUAUUUUUGGUUGAUGGAUAUGUUUUAAUUCUAAGAUUUAUAGAAAUUGAAGUAGCUAGACAUGGGAACGUGGAAGCUCUCAAAAGGGAGGUGCAAGAUGCCUUCACCCAUUACAAGGUUUGAUGGUAUGUACUGUGUAUUAUGUCUGUUGUCAAUUGCAAAUGCAAAAUGCUGGGACUUUUUGUGAUGGUGUGUAACAGGAUUGAAGGAGCUGUAUAAAAUUUCAUGAAAUAUCUUCAGGAGUUGGACAAGAAAUGAACAUUGGGGAAUCUCUUGCAAUUUCACAUAAAUUAGGGUUAUUCGCCUGAUGCAGCUCUUCAGAAUUCCCUGAAGGACCGGACUGGAACCGGGUUCCUAAUUCUACAGAUCAAAGGAUUAAAUAUUUGGAGGCAUUCAACGGAGCAGUGAUAGAAUGAUACUUGAGUUCUUAUGCCACAUCUAGAACUAUGGUAUUGUUGAGUUUCCUCUUCACAUAUUAAACUCAUGCAUCACGAGAAGAGUGAAAUAUCCGUUCCAGAACUUCUAGCAAGAAUCGAACGGACCAUUUUGCUGGGAUGUCGACUAUAGGCAUUCUUUCAAGCGGUUUGCUCAAAGAUUGCGCUGCCAAUUAGAUCUUCUGGCUUUAUAACAUCCCGAAGACUUUGGGUUCUGUAAAGAGUAAAAUAUCAUUUGCUUGAAGCCAUCUGCUCAUACUAUUCAAGGAAAGUACAGGCCCGCUUCACCCAAAUGAUAUGCCUGAAAGGUUUUUGCUUUCCUGUCUUAAUUCCAGAGGAAGAUUAGUGAAAGCUUCCAGAGGAGGAUCAGUGAAAGCUGGUGUGACCUGUAUAAGUAUAGAGUAGUUUGUAAUUUAACCAUGAUCCUGGGCUACUAAAUGAUUGAUCUUCUUUUGCACUUGUAAUGAAUUACACUGUUUUUG